UACGUAGGGUGCAAGCGUUAAUCGGAAUUACUGGGCGUAAAGCGUGCGCAGGCGGUUUUGUAAGUUUGUCGUGAAAUCCCCGGGCUUAACCUGGGAAUUGCGAUGGAGACUGCAAGGCUUGAAUCUGGCAGAGGGGGGUAGAAUUCCACGUGUAGCAGUGAAAUGCGUAGAGAUGUGGAGGAACACCGAUGGCGAAGGCAGCUCCCUGGGUCAAGAUUGACGCUCAUGCACGAAAGCGUGGGGAGCAAACAGG
rnacentral:rRNA from 1 species